rnacentral:rRNA from 1 species
UACGUAGGGGGCAAGCGUUGUCCGGAUUUAUUGGGCGUAAAGCGCUCGCAGGUGGUUCGAUGCGUCGUGCGUGAAAGACCCCGGCUCAACUGGGGAGGGUCGUGCGAUACGGUCGGACUGGAGGCCAGUAGGGGGAUGCGGAAUUCCGGGUGUAGUGGUGGAAUGCGUAGAUAUGACAUAGAACACCAAUUGCGUAGGCAGCUUACUACACGAUCAUUGACGCUGAGGCACGAAAGCGUGGGGAGCAAACAGG